GGUGCCAGCAGCCGCGGUAACUCCAGCUCCAAUAGCGUAUAUUAAAGUUGUUGCGGUUAAAAAGCUCGUAGUUGAAUCUGUGUCCCACACUGUCGGUUCACCGCUCGCGGUGUUCAACUGGCACGUCUGUGGGACGUCCUACCGGUGGGCUUAGCCCGUCAAAAGGCGGCCCAACUCAAAAUCCUACCACGGUGCUCUUCACCGAGUGUCGAGGUGGGCCGGUACGUUUACUUUGAACAAAUUAGAGUGCUUAAAGCAGGCUCAUUCGCCUGAAUAUUCUGUGCAUGGAAUAAUGGAAUAGGACCUCGGUUCUAUUUUGUUGGUUUUCGGAACUCCGAGGUAAUGAUUAAUUGGGACAACUGGGGGCAUUCGUAUUGCGACGUUAGAGGUGAAAUUCUUGGAUCGUCGCAAGACGGACAGAAGCGAAAGAAAUGUGUUUUCAUCAAUCAAGAACGAAAGUUAGAGGUUCGAAGGCGAUCAGAUACCGCCCUAGUUCUAACCAUAAACGAUGCCAGCUAGCGAUCCGCCGAAGUUCCUCCGAUGACUCGGCGGGCAGCUUCCGGGAAACCAAAGCUUUUGGGUUCCGGGGGAAGUAUGGUUGCAAAGCUGAAACUUAAAGGAAUUGACGGAAGGGCACCACCAGGAGUGGAGCCUG
rnacentral:rRNA from 1 species